AAGUCGUAACAAGGUUUCCGUAGGUAACAGGUUUGCCUGCCGAAGCCCUUAGCCAGCGACUAUAAAGAAAUCAGCUACAGUCGCCCCUCCGGGGGCUGGCGACGCCGUCAAUCUGUGCCUGGGAGUACCCCCUUUCUAACGGUGUACCACCAGCAGCUCGUUGCCCUGCAAACCGAGUUCACAGAUCAAACGAUAGCGGCCACUUCGGUGGUUGAGAUAUGAUCGGCCCCCAGCUGUUACCCGGCUGGCGAGAUUUAGCGGAACCUGCGGAAG
rnacentral:misc_RNA from 1 species